ACGGAAGACGACUAGGCUCACGGCCUGUGCCAGAGCGUCUGCAUUCUCCUGGCAAUGACAAGGCCCCCCCAAAAAAUGCAGUGAUGGGGAAAGGACAACUGAGAUUCCUGCUUAGGAGGAACCGCCCAGAGUUAAGAGACUCGACACCACAACCCGGAGAAAACAGCGGCUCUUGGGCAAGCAGGUUCGGAAGAUCUAGCAUCACAGAGCCAGGAGUCUUUCAGAGGUUCCCGGGAGUCAAGGCAGAUUGGGCCACUAAGGUGCUUUAAGUUUGGGGCUGGAGUACCCUGUUCUGAAAACCUGACUAUUUAGAAGUCUAAAGAACUGAGAAUUCGACCAGAGCAGGACUGUGCAGUAUCCACAGGGGAAGUUACUAAUUCCACUGCAGCACUUAGUACAGAGCCCUGGCCGGGGACGUCGGGAGCACUUACCCUGAGGAGGCUUCUGCUGGCUUUUGACAAAGUCGGCUCCACAC